GGAAUUGGAUGCCUUUGUGUACAUUGAAAGGCAUCUCAUUUAUUAGUAAACUAAAUUGUAGUUUCAAGAAUUUACCUGGUGCUCAUGGAUGACUGGGUCAUAGUUAAUAUCUGAUUCAUCAUAUGAAAAAGCAGUGGGUAAACUAGAGCGCCGCGGCAGUCUGCCCAUGGUGUCCCGCAGCCUGGAGGAUAACAUGGACGCCACCUCUGGCACAUUCAAACUAUCGAGCAUACAGAAUUUCUUCAGCAAAAAGACCCUUAAGGGGACAUUGAAGAGGACCAAGAGUGCCACAAAACUUGACAGAAAAAGAACAGCACCUGGAGCUCUGGAUGGGAGUGAAUCGUGAGUAUUCAUUUUUUCCCCAGUCUUAAUUUAAACAGUCAUAAAAAGGUGGUGAAUAUUUUGUUUUGAACUGUGACCAUCAUUUGCUUGAUUAUUCAGCAGCAUUGCUAGUUCCGUAACGUUUUUCCAAAGUUUAACGGUUUUUAAGAUUUGAAAUAAACCACUUGGAAUGAGAGUGUUUUACAGUAUAUUGCUGUGCUGUGUUUUUUCUACCACCGGUUGCAUAGUAAACAAGGCAUGGAGUGAGCUAGGGAGAUGUGCAGUAACAAAGCAUCAUCUAGGAUAGAGAAGAGAUAAGACUUGCUGUCUGCCACACAUUGUAUCAGACAUUUCAAUGGCCCCAUUAUGAGGCAUGCAACUCAAAAAUUGUAUCAGACGUCCAGAAACAUUUGUAAUGCUGCCUUCGGGUUGAGCAGAUUGAUAUCAAGGCCAUCGAGAUGAAAAGUUGCAGGGUGGAUGGCUAGCAAGUCUUGUCUGUAGUAGCAGGGGUGUGUGGCACUUUCCACCCACUGUCUUCCACUGAUAAACCUUUCUCACAUUCUAAUAUGUGGCUCCUUAGUAUCAAGCUCUUCUGCUGAUAAUACUGCUUCAUGAUGUCUGGUCUUCCAACACAGUCGCCACUAUCCCGUGGCUAAUAGGGGCCGGUGUCGCCAGCCAGGCCUGAUGCAGUGGCAAGUUAUCUGCAAAUGAGGCUGGAAAAUAGGGGAUGGAUCAGCAGUUAUUUCAAUUAAAUUUAGUUUUCAUGGUUUUCAAGUCUUCAGAUGUUGGUCUGAUUUGGUUUUUUUUUUCUUAUUACUAUCAUAAAAGAUAUAUUAAUAAUUUGGAAGUGCUAAAUUCAG
rnacentral:misc_RNA from 1 species